rnacentral:lncRNA from 1 species
CCCUUUCCAAAAUGUCUCUAUCUUUUUUACUAAUAUUGUCAUGUCCGGUAAUUUUCAACUAUCCAUUUUAAACAAAUCUUUAAAUAAGAAUUUAUUCUCAAAUAUAAAUCUUAAGUUUUCACCGUUUUAUCUCAUCCAACGAAUAAAAAUAAAAGUAUCUGUCAUUUUUGUUGACAAAAAUACCCUCCAUAUGCGUUAUCUCCUAUAUACACCGCAUUUUUUAAAUAUUUUUUUUCUAUCCACCAAUAAUGUAAUACGUAAAACUAAAUUUAUCUCUUAUCUAACGUAAUACCCACCAAUCACGUACUUCCGCUAAUCACGUAAUACGUAAAAUUAAAUUUAUUUGCUAUCCACGUGUUUUCUCAAAUAUUUUUUCUUCUCAAACAUAAUAUCUGCCAACACGUAGUAUUCAAAAUUAAAUUUUAAAUUUGUAAUUCCCACCAAAAUUUAAUACCCGCGAAUUUGAUAAUUUAAAUUUUAAUUUAUUAUAGUAGAUAUUUCCUUACAUAAGAUAGUAGAUUUAAUUUUGACGAGUAUUAAAAUUUGGCGCGUAAUAAAAGCGUUAAAUAUUGUUAAAAAAUUUUAAUACCUUCAAAUCAAAACUAAAUCAUUAAUUAAAUAUAAUUUGAAAUAUUUUUAGUAAAAUAUUUAUUAUUUAAAUAAUGCGUCAUAAAAGUGUAGAAUAUUUCUAAAAAAAAAAAUUAAUACCCGCCUAAUCAAAACUAAAUCGUUAAUUAAAUAUAAUUUUAAAUAUUUGUAGCAAAAUAUUAAAUGUUUAAAUAAUACCCACCAAAAUAUUCUCUUAGUUCUCAAAUAUAGAAUAUAUCUUAUCUAUUUUAAAUAAAUUUUUAAAUAAUAAUUUUUUAUCAAAUAUAGAUCUUAAGUUUGCGCCAUUGGAUCUCAUCCAAUGAAUAAAAAUAAAAUUAUCUGUCAUGUUUGUUGACAAAAAUAUCCUCCAUAUCUGUUAUUUCUGAUCUCAUCCAAUGAAUAAAAAUAAAAGUAUUUGUCAUUUUUGUUGAAAAAAAUACCCUCCAUAUCUGUUAUCUCCUAUUUAAGCCGCGUUUCUCAAAAAAAUUUUUUCUACCCACCCAUCAUAUAAUACGUAAAACUAAAUUUACCUCAUAUCUAAUGUAAUACACGACAAUCACGUAAUACCUCCACUAAUCACGUAAUGUAUUACCUGCCCAUGACGUAAUAUUCAAAAUUAAAUUUUAAAUUUGUAAUGUCCUCCAAAAUUUAAUAUCCCCGAAUUUGAUAAUUUGAAUUUUAUUAAUUCAUAAUAGUAGAUUUUUCCUCACAUAAGAUAGUAGAUUUAAUUUUGACGAGUAUUAAAAUUUGGCACGCCAUAGAGGCCUUAAAUAUUGCUAAAAAAAUUUUAAUAUCCCAAAAUCAAAAAUAAAUCAUUAAUCGUUAAUUAAAUAUAAUUUUAAAUAUUUUUAGUAAAAUAUUCAGUAUUUAAAUAAUGUAUCAUAAAAGCAUAGAAUAUUUCUAAACAAAAUUAAUACCCGCUCAAUCAAAACUAAAUCGUUAAUUAAAUAUAAUUUUAAAUUUUUUUAGCAAAAUAUUAAAUAUUUAAAUAAUACCCACCAAAAUAUUCUCCGCAUUCUCAAAUAUAGAAUAUAUUUUAAUACCUUUGCAUAUAAUAUCUACACUACCCAAUCUUAUUUCAUAAUAAUAUUUAUUACACAAUAUAUACAUCAUAUCUUUUUUUGUUAGCAUAUCUUUUUUGGUAUUUUCUCAUUUAACUUUUAGUAGUAUUAAUUUUUCUUUUUAUCUAUAUUUUUUUCAAAUAUUUUUUUAG